GCAUCCUCAGCAGCCACAGACAAGGUAAGUUUGGGAUUUGCAUCUCCCUCAGCUUACCUGACUGAGCUGGCUAGUUUUAUGUCAACAUGAAACAGUGCAUAGUCCUCAUUGAAAGGAAGGAACCUCAACUGAGAAAAUGUCUUCAUAAGAGGGCAGCUCAUUGUGAGUGGUGCCAGCCCUGGGCUGGUGGUCCUCAGUUCUGUAAGAAAGCAGGCCAUACAGCAAGCCACAAGGAACAAGCCACUGAGCAGCGCUCCUCCAAGGCUUCUACAUCAUCGGCUCCUGCCUCCAGGCUCCUGUCCUGAUUUCUUCCAGUGAUGAACAGCGAGGUGGAAGUCUCCUAUACAACAACCCCAAGGAUGGCGGGAGAGGACUACCACUCCUCAGGAGAAGCUGUCUGCAUGGGCUGAGCAGAGAUGGCUACAGUGCUUGCUGAAAGCAUGGUGACAAACAAGUGACCUAGAGCCACACUUCCUGCCAGUCAGUGAUGUGGGCUGAGAAGGCACGGUUUCAGUUCGCACCCAUCCUACACCCUCUGCGGCUGACCUACAGGCCUCCUUCCUCCUCCUCAGGCUCGGAGUUCACGUUGCUCUGCUCAGACAUUCGAGCCACCGGUGUGGCUGGUGGAACUCUGGCU
ensembl:antisense